rnacentral:rRNA from 1 species
UGAGGAAUAUUGGGUCAAUGGGCGGGAGCCUGAACCAGCCAAGCCGCGUGAGGGAAGAAGGCCCUAUGGGUCGUAAACCUCUUUUGUCAGGGAACAAAAGCCGAUAUGUAUAUUGGUGUGAGUGUACCUGAAGAAAAAGCAUCGGCUAACUCCGUGCCAGCAGCCGCGGUAAUACGGAGGAUGCGAGCGUUAUCCGGAUUUAUUGGGUUUAAAGGGUGCGUAGGCGGCGGUGCAAGUCAGCGGUAAAAGCCCGGGGCUCAACCCCGGCGAGCCGUUGAAACUGCAGUGCUAGAGAAGGCGAGAGGUACGCGGAAUGCGCAGUGUAGCGGUGAAAUGCUUAGAUAUUGCGCAGAACUCCGAUUGCGAAGGCAGCGUACUGGCGCCUGACUGACGCUGAGGCACGAAAGCGUGGGGAUCGAACAGGAUUAGAUACCCUGGUAGU